CAUUCGUCCAUCAAGAAAAAAUCAACGAUUCGUGUACCAGCGGCGUGCCAGCGGGAAGGUUUCGUGAACGUCGGCUGCGGCGAUGUUUUCAUGUGUGAGACAGACCGUGCUGAUACCAUGCCGUCCGGCGGUCCAAGCUACGGCAGCUACUGCUGUGUGUCGUGCUGCUUUGACAACGGCAGAACCCAGAAGAAGCCUAUCUUGCCUUGGAAUAAAAACAUUGCGGAAACUCUG
rnacentral:lncRNA from 1 species